GUGGUGGAACGGGUAUUGGGAUGGAUCGUGAAACUAUUUCCUGGAGGGCCACCAAGACGACGAACUAGCAAGCUUCUUUAAUCUCCAUGGCAAGCGAACAAUGAUGAGUUAUCCCUGCGAAAAGCUGGUCUUUUUCUUCUCUCCAGCCCUGCAUUUUUGUAGCCAAACGGAGUCUGGAUUUUGUACAUUAUCCAUGGUUUAUACACACACAUUGCAUUCUUUUCCCCCAGAAGAAGCAAAUUGUAUCUAAGAGGCAUUUUGGAAGAUGGAAUAGCUGUUCUCGACAGUUUUGGCAAUAAAACAUGACCGUGUUGUUUACA
rnacentral:misc_RNA from 1 species